AUGUCUUUGUCCCAGACGGAUCGCGGGCUGGUCCUCGCGCUCUGGAAGAAGAUGGGAGACAAUGUUGGAAUCUACGCGACCGAAGCCUUGGAGAGGACCUUCGUGGCUUUCCCCUCCACCAAAACCUACUUCCCACACUUGGACCUGAGGCCAGGCUCUAGCCAGGUUAAAGCCCAUGCCCAAAAGGUGGCCGAUGCACUGACUCUCGCUGCCCAGCACCUGGACGACCUGCCUGCUUCUCUGUCUGCUCUCAGUGAUCUGCAUGCGCACAAGCUCCGCGUGGACCCCGCUAACUUUCAGUUCUUCAGCCACUGUCUGCUGGUGACUCUUGCCCGGAACUAUCCUGGAGACUUCAGCCCGCAGAUGCAUGCCUCCUUGGACAAGUUUCUGGAUCACGUGACUUCCGCACUGGUCUCUGAGUAUCACUAAACUGAGGAUGCAGGAUAGUGUACGCUCCAGCCGUGCCCCUUUUCAAGCUCACAGUGUUUGCGUAAAGCUCCCCAGAGUUACACUGCUGUCCUGUAUGCAGAGGGGCACAGGAGAAAGGUACACCCAGCCCCCAGUUGUCAGAACAACCAAGAGACUGGAACUACAGCUAAGCUGGUGUCUCAGACCUCAGAUGAGAGGCAGCUGUCCAUUGGUUUUGUUGUUUCAUUUUAUUUUUACCUUUGAGAUAAAUUUCAUAUGCUCUGCAACCCAGGCUGGCCUCUCAAAUCCAUACUACAAACUAGGUUGAUCUAUCACCCCUGAUCCUUCUGUUUCACAGCUAUCUCCAACCCAUCCCCCAGUGCCACCCACCAUCUCGGAUUACAGGGCGUUCCCCACCAGACCUGGCUCCAGGGUGGUUUCUUUUCUUUAUUGUAUGUAUGUAUGUAUGUAUGUAUAUAUGUAUUUAAGAUUUACUUAUUUUACAUAUAUGAGUACACUGUCGCUGUCUUCAGACACACCAAAAGAGGGCAUCAGAUCCCAUUACAGAUCGUUGUGAGCCACCAUGUGGUAGCUGGGAAUCAAACUCAGGAUCUCUGGAAGAGUAGGCAAUGCUCUUAACCACUGAGCCAUCUCUCCAACCCCUGGUUCUUUUUAUGUUUAUUUAACCUGUCUGUUUGUGUUCCGUGUUGGAGAUGGGAAGAAGGGUCUCCUGGGUGCCAAAGUGGCUCCAAGCUGCAGAAAGUGCAACUAACUCGGGAAAGAGACUGGCGAUCAGUGAAUGAAUGAAUCAACCUUUACAAAAGAAUAGAAAGAAAGGCUUUAUAAAGGACACUUCCAAAGGGUCGUGGGCUGGGUGGUAACUAGAGUCCCACCUGCAGCUGGAGGACCGGUCCUAGCACCUUCACACAUUCUCAAGCUUCAGAGGAGGCUCAGGGAUCGCCACCAGGGAGGCCUAUGGCAUUGAGUUACACAUCCAUGUCUUUAGCCUUGGCCAUAUCAGUUACAGAACUGUGGCUUUUGUCUCUCAGACAGGUGAUAGGUACUGAGGUCACAAGUCAGAAUAAGUGACCUGUUCCAUACAAUGCCCUGCCCCCUUCCAAUUGGUCUUUGUCUAACUCUGCUCAGGUCCAGGUGGGUUAGGCCUGGUCCUAUUACAAGACAGUCACCUCCUGGAUCCACACAUCGGGUUCAGAGCUGUAGAUGAUGCUGAAUGAGGGUAUCAGUGGAUGUCCAGGACACACUGGGCACUGUCCCACAGAAAGAAAUUCAAUCAGUGACCUCCUGUCUUCCUAGCCCAGCCAUGCCCAAGGUGUGUCUAUUAGGGACUUCCCGUGUAUGGAGGUCAGUAGUUAAGGCAUUGUGUGCCAGACUCAAUUUCUCAGAAUGAGGUGGGACCAGCACCAAAGCCUGUCCUGUAGAGAGGUGGCAGGGGACCCUCCAACCCUGCCUUCAUUGCACUUCAGAGAGGGCAGGGGGUUUCUUCUGGCUGCCUAAAGUCAGUCACAUGCAAGGCAGAAAACUGAUUUAACCUGCACAUUGGCCACCUCUCAGGCUAAGGAACAUGCCCUGGACAUCCUUAGUCAGACCUUCAGUUCCUACUGGACAUGAGGCAAACUGUCAGGUAUGAGAAAGUGGAAGCUGUGAGGUCACCUCCUAUGGCACAUGCAUGACACACUUUCUGUGAUAUGGGCAAAACAGGGACUCAAAACACAGUGGACAAGUAAUGGUUUGUCAUACAUGAGACCUUGACUAGGCUAGGACCACUCAGGUGGCUAAGGAAGCAUGUGUCUGUGAAGGUCCAAAAAAGAAGCAUUGGAACUGGCAGCCAGACCACAAUUCCUCUGUGCCAUACAGGAGAUGGCCCAUCCACCAGGGGCCAUGCGGGAAGAAGAGGAUGCACCUUCUGUGAACAGGACAUCGACAUUUUUGUGCCUGGCCUGUGGGUACUGUGUCCUUGGGCCUGUGGUCGUUGAGGGCCAUGUGGAAUUAAUACCACAGGCAUUUCUGGGCUUCCAGAUUGCAGGAGGCAGAUCCUAGGUCUUCACAUGCUGUGAAGAAAUGAGGGUGGGGGGGGCUGGAAUAAGCCAUACCCGUCUCUUCCAAACAUUUCCUGGUUAUGUUCUCUAGAGAACUCUGGUUGAUGCAGGGGGUUAAAAAAUGAAGAAGAUAUCUGGGUGGGGUCCCCCAGGCCUGUAACCCCCAGCCACCCUGGCACUCAGGACUCAUUGCACACAUCCAGGAGUAGAAACUAACAUAGGAAGACAGCAAGACCUAAGAUUUUUCGCUCACAGCAUAAAGAAAACAUGUUUGGGGAUGUUAUUGGUGCUAGAGAAUGUUCUCUAAAGCGUUUCCUGGGUCACCAUCUUCCCCACAAAAAGGCAAGAGUCAAACGAAAUAAAAAACAAAACACCCCAGCAAGGAUUAUCUGCUCAGACUCCCUAAUGAGAGUAUAGUGUAUGCCCCUCUCUGUAUUGAGUAUUAUACUUGCUCUGAUAGAGUCACAGGUACCACAUUGUUCCAGUCCUUGCCCUUCCCUAUCAGAGGCCAGGGGUGUGGGUGAGGAGUCCUGGCUGCAGUGGCAGGUGGUGGGCUGGCCCCAGCACAGUGCCCCUGGAACAGCCCCAGCACAGUGCCUUCUUGCUGUUGCUCAGGAGGCAAACAGGUCCCUUUCCUUAGUCCGAGAUCGAGCUCACUGCCCCAUUCUUUGCAUGCAUCCUGCCUCCUGGGAUCUCCUUCUGGGUCUGCUCUCCUGAUGUCAGCAGCAGCCAGAAAGCAGGUUGCCUAGGUCUGGGCCCCUGGCUCUAGGCUGGGAUUUGAAUACCUGUCCUGCUUGUAGAUCUCUAGAGAUACAGUGAUGCCCCCAAGGCUGGUCCCUGAGAGCACCAGCCUGGGGAGCACUGAAUACAGCUUACCCUCACUACACACACACACACAUUGAGUGGGGGGAUUUCUAUAUGUGACUGCUUGGCUGUCCUGGAGCUCAAUUUGUAUAACAUCCUUGCCUGGAACUCUCCAAGAUUUACCUACAUCUGCAUCCCAAGUAUUGGAAUUAAAAAUUGGGACUCCACUACCAGAUAUAUAUUCUAUACUUCAAUAAAUCUUGAAAAAAUAGUGUGGUAAACUUUACUGGCAAAGAGCAGGAGACAAAAGUCUUAUCAAAGUAAAUGCAGAGGGAUGGGUGUGGUGUCACAUGUUUUUAAUCAGAGCACUCCAGAGGCAGAAGUAGAGAGAGAUCUCUGUCAGUUCAAGGCCUGCCUGGUCUACAGAGCAAGUCCCAGGCCAGGGAAACCCUGUCUUUUGUUUGUUUGUUUGUUUGUUUUUUGUUUUUGUUUUUGGAUUUGUUUUUUUCAAUAUACGGUUUCUCUGUGUAGCCCUGGCUGUCCUGGAAUGCACAUUGUAGAUCAGGCUGGCCUGGAACUCAGAAAUCCACCUGCCUCUGCCUCCCAGAGUGCUGGGAUAACAGGCAUGCGCCACCACCAACUGACAAAACUCUGUCUUAAAAACAAACAGAACAGUAAGCAUGUGUUUGUGUUCUGCAUCCUGGAGCAGCCCAGCAGAGCUUACUGCCUGUGCAGACACGGACUGGGCAAAGAUGCCUUGCACAUUGCAGUCUAAGUGCAAGUACAAGAUGCAGCUGGUGAGAACAAGAUGCAGCUGGUCAGAAGGGAGUCUGCGCUCUGCUCUCAGCACAGAAGCUUCCCUCCUGAGAUUCCCCUCUGCUUCCCUGGCUGUUAGCAGCAUCCAGAACAACUCUGGUCCUGACUUUCAGGCCACUGGCUCUAGGUUGGCAUCUCAGUCUGCCUGGCUAUGGUGUUCUGGAAUGUGAUCUAGCUUUCCAGGCUUUUAGAGGAAGGAGUCAGCCUAAGUUGCACUGGAUACAGCUUCCCAGAGGGUGGCGAGGACCACAUUCACUAGAUUCCUGGCAAAGAGCACCCUCAAUACCUAGGCAGUUUCUUCCUCUCCCUGUGACUUCUUCCUUACAGUUCACUCAUCUUCAUUAUCUUCCAAUUAUGUAUAUGCAUGUUUCUAUGUAUACCGUGUGUGUGUGUGUGUGUGUGUGUGUGUACAUGCGUGAGUGCCUAUGAAGGUCACAAGUGGGUGUGAAAUCCCUGGAAGCUGGAGCUGCUGUUACAGGUAGUUUUGAUCCACCUCACCUGGGUCUGGGCAACCAAACUCAGGCCCGCAAGAAGGGUAGCAAGCAUCCUUCAGUGCUGAGUCACGCCUGCAGCCACCUCAUUUUUAUUUGUGUGUAGGAAAACACAUCAGCAAUAAACUGAAGUCCAGACAAGCAUUCACACCAUUCUGUGUUGUCAAUAGGGAGAGUCUCUCUGUCAUAUCUCUCUACCCAGAAAAGGCCCAAGUAAACGUUGGAGCUGAACCUAGUAUCUUCACUAAGUGUAAACAAAGAUGAGUCUGAAGGGAAGGAGGGUUGAAGGAAAGGAGGGAGAGAAAGGGAGGGUGGAGGAUGGGAGAGAAAGACAGGGAGGAGUGGAGGAAGGAUAGGAGCAAGAGAAGAUUCCUAAGACUAAGACACCCUCUAAGAAUCUCAAGGAGAGACUGAAAGAGUGUGCAGAGAGAGAGGACUCCCCAACCCCAGAAUGUCCACCCGCUAGGAGCUGCCCACCACCGCUACCCCAGCCAGGGUCAGCUAGCCAUUCCUUAUGCCUAUAAGUCCCCAGCAUCUUUUCCUUCUUGUCCUCAGAGCUAGGAUGAAGCCUGCACUUGGGGGUUGCGUAGAUUGUAGUCAGAGAAUAGGAGGCAUGAGGCGGAACAGUUCUGCCAAAGGCUGAGCCUCUGAACCCCAGACAAAGGCUUUUUCUUUCCAGACACCUGUCUCUCUCCAGGAGGGGGACAGGAGCAAGAAAGAGGAAGAACCACGCGACCUAAGGAUGGGGUCAGUGACCAAGUUCCUAAGCCCAGCAUGCCUGUAAGUAUGACCAACAACCUGGUUUAUUCACACCUGAGAUUCACACCUCCAUGGACAAGCUUUUUGCUGCUGUGAACCUCCAGUGCUGGGGACUGAAGCCAGAACCUUCCUCAGGCAAAGGGAACAAAUACUCUGCUAUUCACUUACACCCAGGCUCAAGCAAUCCUCCUGCCUCAUCCUGCCAGGACCUGAGGCUCCCCAUUUCUGAAACCAAAACCAGCCUUCAGGAUUUCCUUAUCCAUCCCUGGUAGCACUGGGCAGCUAAGAUGCAAGACUUUAAGAAGAGUCUGGUGACCUGCUCCUGAGCUAGGACAGUCACUUGAGCCAAAGGACUCAGGCCAGUCUGGAAACUAGAACAAGAUCUCGUCCCAGAAAAAGACAAGAAAGGAGGAACCAGGGCAGGAGAGAGUGAACAAAGAGGAAGAGAGAGGGAAGAAGGGAGAAAGACAGGAGAGAGCUCCUCUGUGGGUCACCAGCAUCUUAGCCUUUUGUCAGAACCAAGGCACGUCUUCCCAAACACCUGUUAUUGGAGGCAUAGGAAGGGGUAAAAAGCAUCCGGGCAAGGGUAAGGAUUCCCUGCACUCAGGCAAGGCAGAUCCCCCGCCUCAGACUCGGGGUUGGGGGGUGGGUUUCAAGUUUUACUGGGCGGAGCAAGCACGAGCCAGCCAAUGAGAGCUGCUCUAAGGGCGUGACCUCCACAGUGUAGGCAUAUAAGUGCAACUUGCUGUGGGUCCAACACACUUCUGAUUCUGAUAAACUCAGGAGGAAAUCAUGGUGCUCUCUGGGGAGGACAAAGCCAACAUCAAGGCUGCCUGGGGGAAGAUUGGUGGCCAUGGCGCUGAAUAUGGCGCGGAGGCC